ACUUGGGCACUGAAACAAUGUCC
rnacentral:miRNA from 2 species